rnacentral:rRNA from 1 species
GGUUGACCUCGGAUCAGGUAGGGAUACCCGCUGAACUUAAGCAUAUCAAUAAGCGGAGGAAAAGAAACCAACCGGGAUUGCCCCAGUAACGGCGAGUGAAGCGGCAAGAGCUCAAAUUUGAAAUCUGGCCCCUCCGGGGUCCGAGUUGUAAUUUGCAGAGGAUGCUUCGGGUGCGGCCCCUGUCUAAGUGCCCUGGAACGGGCCGUCAGAGAGGGUGAGAAUCCCGUCUUGGGCA